rnacentral:rRNA from 1 species
GCAGUCGAGCGCACCCUUCGGGGCGAGCGGCGGACGGGUUAGUAACGCGUGGGAAUAUACCCUUCACUACGGAAUAGCCUCGGGAAACUGAGAGUAAUACCGUAUACGCCCUUCGGGGGAAAGAUUUAUCGGUGAUGGAUUAGCCCGCGUCUGAUUAGAUAGUUGGUGGGGUAAUGGCCUACCAAGUCUACGAUCAGUAGCUGGUUUUAGAGGAUGAUCAGCAACACUGGGACUGAGACACGGCCCAGACUCCUACGGGAGGCAGCAGUGGGGAAUCUUAGACAAUGGGCGAAAGCCUGAUCUAGCCAUGCCGCGUGUGUGAUGAAGGCCUUAGGGUCGUAAAGCACUUUCGCCAGGGAUGAUAAUGACAGUACCUGGUAAAGAAACCCCGGCUAACUCCGUGCCAGCAGCCGCGGUAAUACGGAGGGGGUUAGCGUUGUUCGGAAUUACUGGGCGUAAAGCGCACGUAGGCGGAUCAGAAAGUUGGGGGUGAAAUCCCAGGGCUCAACCCUGGAACUGCCCUCAAAACUCCUGGUCUUGAGUUCGAGAGAGGUGAGUGGAAUUCCAAGUGUAGAGGUGAAAUUCGUAGAUAUUUGGAGGAACACCAGUGGCGAAGGCGGCUCACUGGCUCGAUACUGACGCUGAGGUGCGAAAGUGUGGGGAGCAAACAGGAUUAGAUACCCUGGUAGUCCACACCGUAAACGAUGAAUGCCAGACGUCGGGCAGUAUACUGUUCGGUGUCACACCUAACGGAUUAAGCAUUCCGCCUGGGGAGUACGGUCGCAAGAUUAAAACUCAAAGGAAUUGACGGGGG